rnacentral:lncRNA from 1 species
GCCAAUCUGCGUACUAGUCACUUAAAAAAAUCAUAUCUUGAGUUAAGAAACUCGGAAUCCAGUUCCGUAAAUUUUCCCUGAAACUAAACUCAUAUUACCAUCUACAUAUUUUUUUCUAGAAUUUUUGGUUGGGCCAAUUAGUACAGUUUAUUAGUCAAAGUCUCCCAUGUUACAGGGAUCGACUACACUGACCUUUGCGCAUUACGACUUAGAUAUCUCCCU